UGGUCAACAGAGGGAAGCAAGACCGCGAGGUGGAGCAAAUCCCUAAAAGCCAUCCCAGUUCGGAUUGCAGGCUGCAACCCGCCUGUAUGAAGUUGGAAUCGCUAGUAAUCGCGGAUCAGCAUGCCGCGGUGAAUACGUUCCCGGGCCUUGUACACACCGCCCGUCACACCAUGAGAGUCGGGAACACCCGAAGUCCGUAGUCUAACCGCAAGGGGGACGCGGCCGAAGGUGGGUUCGAUAAUUGGGGUGAAGUCGUAACAAGGUAUC
rnacentral:rRNA from 1 species